AAGUGAUCGCAACACACGCCCUCUCCACUACGAUAAUCCAUGCGCGUGGAAGCGACGGCUACCACGUCGUCAAAUGCUGUACGGCGAUCUACGGGGUUCUUUUCUAACGAAGCAUCAACCUGAGAGACCAUGAGGCUUCUGGCUGUCACGUUUCUAUUGGGUGCGCUCACGACGGUUGUUCAUUCCGCGUGCGAUGAGGGCCUCGCUCGGAUGGUCUUGGUGGACUGCGCAACCGAAGCAACACAGCUGAAGCCGGAAUUUGCGAAAGCUGGGUACUGGACGCAAGUGGACACAUCUGAUGUGUCCCAAGUGAGGAGUGCAUGCUGCGUUCAGAAGGCAUUAACGAGGUGCCUCAGACAGAAACUCACCGGGAGUGUGCAUCGCUUAGUGAAGCCAUGAUCAAGAAGAUGCGAGCACAAAGGAAAGAGACUCUGCGUAACCGCUGGAAGUGUGACGUUUUCACACGCUACUGUUGAGGAGCAGGAUGUUUGCCCCCACCAGGGCUCAAAGUGUCAGGACGCAUCCAAAAAGUAUGCUGAUCCCUGCACACUGGAAAUAAAUUUGUUCAGUCCGCAUAAAUA